AGCGGCAUGGCCAAGUGGUAAGGCAAGGGACUGCAAAUCCUUUAUCCCCAGUUCAAAUCUGGGUGUCGC
rnacentral:tRNA from 7 species